rnacentral:tRNA from 1 species
AGGCUGUUAACUCAAUGGUAGAGUACUCGGCUUUUAACCGAAUAGUUCUGGGUUCAAGUCCCAGAUAGCCUA